GGCGGUGGCUGGCCGGGCUGAAGGGCAGCUGAUUACCCUAAUCAGCAGGUCGGAGGUUCGAUCCCUCUCGCUGGCUCCA
rnacentral:tRNA from 1 species